CAACAGCACGCCUCCUGAGAAGACAAAGCACGUUUGAUGAGAGAAAGCUGCCACCAGAGACCACAGCCUGGCUGAACGGAGUGGGCGCUUCCCACUUGUUCAAUGUCACUUCAAAUAUUGUUUGAGGGUAAGAGGUAAUGACAGCAUGAGUCCAUUAACUCCCAUGAUCCCGCGCUGGUCACACAGGGAUGACAAGGACGCGGCUGAAGGCGGGGCCCCAACUCCCAUUCUUUUCUUUUUCUUUCUUUCUUUUUUUCUUUUUUAAAGAUAUUAUUUAGGGCAGCCCCGGUGGCUCAGUGGUUUAGCGCCGCCUUCAGCCUGGGGCCUGAUCCUGGAGACCCAGGAUCGAGUCAACUUAGGGUUCCCUGCAGGGAGCCUGCUUCUCCCUCUGCCUGCGUCUCUGCCUCUCUCUCUCUGUCUCUCAUUAAUAGGUAAAUAAAAUCUUAAAAAAAAAAGAUUUUAUUUAUUUAUGAGAAAGACAGAGAGAGCAUGAGCCAGGGGGAGGGGCAGAGGCAGAGGGACAAGCAGGCUCCCCCCUGAGCUGGAAGGCCCAAGGUGGCCCACCUCCCAGGACCCCGGGAUCAUGACCCAAGUGAGCGGAAGGCAGACGCUCAACCAACUGAGUCACCCAGGCACCGCUCCCACUCUUUUCUUGCCACACUUUUUCCCUGAAGGUGCCCUGGUGCUUUGCCAGCUCCAUCCUGCCGCCACCCAGAGGAAGGGACCCUGGUACAACCAUACGAGGGGAGGGCUCCCUGCCCCUGUGGGAGACAUGCCUCCUCUCAGCCUUGCAUGGCACCUGCCACCAGAGGACUUCCACAUAGGAGCUGCCUCCACACCCCGGGGGGCUCAGAUACCCAACAUGGCUGGAUGGAGCUGCCAGCUUGGGAAGAAGUCAUCCCGUGAACCCGGAUGUUGGAUGGAUGUAGCAACCAUCUGAGGUAAUUAUACUGGAGUUUCAGGGUGGUGUGGUUGGGGCUACAAGAAGCUUGGUAAGCUCUCCCUCGGGGCUUCGUGGAAUCCUGUGGCCCUGGACAGGCUUGUCCGCCUUGAGGAAGUGAGGAAAACACGGGAAGCUUCCAUCUCCAGUGUUUCCCUAGUCUCAGGUCUGGGCCUGGGGAGCUCUGCUGGGACGUAUCCUUUUGAGCUUGCGUUGUCGGUGAAGCGUGACUUCUUGGAGAUGACCAGGUCAGAGGAUUUGUUUCACUGAGCUG
rnacentral:lncRNA from 12 species